AGACGUGGAGACGCGGGAGUCACGCUGACGCGCGCGCCAGGAAUGAAUUCCUGCGUGUCAUUUGUACCGGCCGGAUGGAGUGAGAGAGAAGAUGCUGAAGCAGUGUUCCCCAACAAGCCAGACUACAAUUAUGGGUUACUGACAGGAAGAUCACAGAGAGGAGGUGCCAUUCUUAUCACAUCACAUCAAGGGUACAUCCUACCAGUAUGACUUAUUGGUGACAACCCGGAUGACCUGGCCAAGAUGUUGGGGAAGUGGGGUGAGAACACAGCAGGCAAACUACUCUCCAUUAUAGUCAAGGGCCUGCUGUCAAACCAUCCUGGCACAUAAAGGCACAGAAAUUAAUUCUCAUUUUGAUCCAGUUUGUUUCAACACUUAAGAGUUCUCAUUAAGA